rnacentral:rRNA from 1 species
GACAGAGGGUGCAAACGUUGUUCGGAAUUACUGGGCGUAAAGCGUGUGUAGGCGGCUACAUAAGUCGGAUGUGAAAGCCCCGGGCUCAACCCGGGAAGUGCACUCGAUACUGCGUAGCUUGAGUCUCGGAGAGGUUGGUGGAAUUCUCGGUGUAGAGGUGAAAUUCGUAGAUAUCGAGAGGAACACCGGUGGCGAAGGCGGCCAACUGGCCCGAUACUGACGCUGAGGUGCGAAAGCGUGGGGAGCAAACAGG